rnacentral:rRNA from 1 species
UACAGAGGUCUCAAGCGUUGCUCGGAAUCACUGGGCGUAAAGCGCACGUAGGCGGAUUGCUAAGUCAGGGGUGAAAUCCUGGAGCUCAACUCCAGAACUGCCUUUGAUACUGGCGACCUUGAGUCCGGGAGAGGUGAGUGGAACUGCGAGUGUAGAGGUGAAAUUCGUAGAUAUUCGGAAGAACACCAGUGGCGAAGGCGGCUCACUGGUCCGGUACUGACGCUGAGGUGCGAAAGCGUGGGGAGCAAACAGG